AGGAUUAACGCUGGCGGCGUGCCUAACACAUGCAAGUCGAACGAGGUAGCAAUACCUAGUGGCAGACGGGUGAGUAACGCGUGGUCAGCCUACCGUUGAGUGGGGGAUAACUAGCCGAAAGGUUAGCUAAUACCGCAUACGAGUCUCGGGGGCAUCCCUGGGCCUUAAAAGGAGCAAUCCGCUCGAUGACGGGACCGCGUCCCAUUAGUUAGUUGGUGGGGUAAUGGCCUACCAAGACUCCGAUGGGUAGCUGGCUUGAGAGAGCGACCAGCCACACUGGAACUGAGACACGGUCCAGACUCCUACGGGAGGCAGCAGUGAGGAAUUUUCCGCAAUGGGCGCAAGCCUGACGGAGCGACGCCGCGUGUGGGAAGAAGGCCUUCGGGUCGUAAACCACUGUCGAAGGGGACGAUAUUGACGGUACCCUUGGAGGAAGCCCGGCUAACUACGUGCCAGCAGCCGC
rnacentral:rRNA from 1 species